GGUGGAGCUGGUGGUGCCCGGGGUGCUCCCCAUCGGCUGCUUCCCGGUGUACCUGUCCAUCUUCCGGAAGCAGCCGGAGAUGUACGGCGGCAAGAGCGGCUGCAUCAAGGACCUCAACACGCUCUCGUGGGUGCACAACGUGGCGCUGCAGCGCAAGAUCGUCGAGCUCCGGAAGAAGCACGCCGACGUGCGCAUCAUGUACGCCGACUACUACACCCCCGCCAUCCAGUUCGUCCUCCACCCCGACAAAUGGGGUAAGCCUCAACCAUCUCUCUCUCUCUCUCUCUCGCCCGCCGUGGUUUUGUCUUGGCUGUCCUGUCCGUGUCCGUGGUUCAUCUGCCUCAGUUCCUCCUGGUCACGGCAGUUUGCAUUUGGUGGUUCGUUUAGUCCGGUUCGUUACGGCAGCUUACGUACCUGUCCCCGUCACCUUUUCCCGAACUCGUCAAAAAACUCAUCAAAGCCGGAGCAUGAAUUUUGUAAAGGAAUUUGAAUCAACGACGCUACGCGAAUACAGUAAUUAUUUAUGAGGUGGCGUCCAAUUGUGAUAGCCACAAGCAUGGGAGGGAGCUGGGGAAGGGACGGGAGAACAAAAGAAUCAACGGGGGUGACGGGAGCGCGCAUGCAUUUCCGGGCGAACAAUCCAAACCGGUGGUUGCCCGAACGUUCCUGCUAUUUGUGAGAGGUUUCGUGACCAAAUGCGCAAAGACCACGGACCCUUCUCGUGAAUGGGACGUGAAGAUAAAUUUCCCAGGAAAAAGAAGCUUCGCUGUCUAGCUAGCUACUUGGCUGGCAAUGGCAUGGCUUGGCUCGCGUCGUCAACAUUGCAACCGAUUAAGAAACGUGGAGGGGUACUCGAUCGAUCCUACCGAUACCAAUUUCGUAGGCACGUACGUACGUGAUGCAUGACGGGGUUGAUGUGACACCUAACUAAACGAGCGAUGACAUAUAUAUCUAGCCAAUCGAUCUAUGGAAGAGGCCCCAUACUACUACAUUUACUUUGUCCUGAGAGUUUCAAGUGCCAUUUAUGUGCUCAGUUUAUUUAUCUGGGCAAAGUUAAUCUGAUCGAUCACGUUGAUUAGUUCAUCCGUGGCCAUGUCUAAUAAAAUGGUACGUACUGCUGCUAGUGCAAGAACUGUCUUGGCAUGAGUAUCUCUUUCUAGUUUAUAUCGUUACACAUGGUACAGACGGCUAAGUCGGAGCCGCAGUAUAUAAAAAAAGAUCACCUAGUUUAAGUUUAUUAUUAUUAUUUUAUUCCGUAGCCUGAGUGGAGCCUUGAUUGCUGAUCCAUGUGAUGUGAGCCACAGAGCAUUGACCUGUUGAUGAUCAACUGCUAGCAGUUGUAUAACAUGGGCAGCUAGCAAUUUGGGAUUUAACUGAGGCAAUUGGAAUGUUGGGUUUUAUGUUGGACUCGAGUGCCAUCAUUUGAAAAGGGAUCAGAAGUUUGCAUAGAAUCGGCCGGCCCUAAUGAUACUUUAAAGCUACUGUGGUACACUUGUUAGAAGUUUAAACAUAACCAGGAAGUGUACAAACUACGAUCAUCAGAAGUACAAAAGCAAAACAACAGAUAUAGCUGUGCGGUUACACCUGUAUUUGGGGCCAUCCACUCGGCAUAUUCAGCUUGUUUGUACUGUACAUUUGGAAGGCUCCCCUAUCACUGUCGCCCCCCUAAUCAAGUAAUAAUCAUACAGCAAUCAGGCACAGUCAUGCAUGCAUUAUUCGCCCAACUUGGUCUUGGUUCUACUACUACUACUACAUGGUGGUAGUACUAGCAUCACAGAUAUGUGUACACAUCAGCUUAAUUUCUAACAAGGAGAGAAGGACCGCUCGAUACGAGUAAUUUAAUUAUUUGAUUCAGUCCAACAAGCCGAUUAUUUUCUUUUUGGAUGGAAGGAAUUGGCUGUGCACCGAUUCCUCACGACACCCAUUUUCAAUGUUGAUUUUGUGACGACCCAUCUUAAAUCAAGUGAAAACAAACAGCAUGACUUAGUCGACUAAGACGUAUUCCUUCGUCCGGUCCAUUUUAGUUGCCUCUCCCACGAAGGAGCAGGCAAAACGGAGAGUGUCCGGAGAAGCAUGGCGCACGUUGUGAUCCGGGCAAUCCGGCUUGGAAUCAGACAACUCAUUCCACACAUUUUUCUAGUAUCUUAUCUUAUCUAAGGAGUACAACAAUUCUGAUGAUGGAUGCGUUGCUUGCAGGGAUGCUGAGGCAGAAGCCGAGGGCGUGCUGCGGGGCGCCGGGCGUGGGGGUGUACAACUUCAACCUGACGUCCAAGUGCGGGGAGCCCGGCGCGUACGCGUGCGACGACCCGUCCAACCACUGGAGCUGGGACGGCAUCCACCUCACGGAGGCAGCCUACGGCCACAUCGCCAGGGGAUGGCUCUACGGGCCCUUCGCCGACCCGCC
rnacentral:lncRNA from 1 species